GACGAACGCUGGCGGCGUGCUUAACACAUGCAAGUCGAACGGUAAGGCCCUUCGGGGUACACGAGUGGCGAACUGGUGAGUAACACGUGGGUGAUCUGCCCUGCACUUCGGGAUAAGCCUGGGAAACUGGGUCUAAUACCGGAUAGGACCACUGCCUGCAUGGGUGGUGGUGGAAAGCUUUUGCGGUGUGGGAUGGGCCCGCGGCCUAUCAGCUUGUUGGUGGGGUGAUGGCCGACCAAGGCGACGACGGGGAGCCGGCCGGAGAGGGUGACCGGCCACACUGGGACUGGGAUACGGCCCAGACUCCUACGGGAGGCAGCAGUGGGGAAUAUUGCACAAUGGGCGCAAGCCUGAUGCAGCGACGCCGCGUGAGGGAUGACGGCCUUCGGGUUGUAAACCUCUUUCAGCACCGACGAAGCGCAAGUGACGGUAGGUGCAGAAGAAGGACCGGCCAACUACGUGCCAGCCGCCGCCGUAA
rnacentral:rRNA from 1 species